UCAGUGAAAUUGAACUCGCUGUGAAGAUGCAGUGUACCCGCGGCAAGACGGAAAGACCCCGUGAACCUUUACUAUAGCUUGACACUGAACAUUGAGCCUUGAUGUGUAGGAUAGGUGGGAGGCUUUGAAGUGUGGACGCCAGUCUGCAUGGAGCCGACCUUGAAAUACCACCCUUUAAUGUUUGAUGUUCUAACGUUGACCCGUAAUCCGGGUUGCGGACAGUGUCUGGUGGGUAGUUUGACUGGGGCGGUCUCCUCCUAAAGAGUAACGGAGGAGCACGAAGGUUGGCUAAUCCUGGUCGGACAUCAGGAGGUUAGUGCAAUGGCAUAAGCCAGCUUGACUGCGAGCGUGACGGCGCGAGCAGGUGCGAAAGCAGGUCAUAGUGAUCCGGUGGUUCUGAAUGGAAGGGCCAUCGCUCAACGGAUAAAAGGUACUCCGGGGAUAACAGGCUGAUACCGCCCAAGAGUUCAUAUCGACGGCGGUGUUUGGCACCUCGAUGUCGGCUCA
rnacentral:rRNA from 1 species